rnacentral:rRNA from 1 species
GUCGUAACAAGGUUUCCGUAGGCGAACCAGCGGAAGGAUCAUUAA